CAAGAAAACAGUCAACAAGAAAACAGUCAACAAGAAAACAGUCAACAAAAAACAGUCAGCAAGAAAACAGUCAAAACCAAAACAGUCAACAAAAAACAGUCAACAAGAAAACAGUCAACAAGAAAACAGUCAACAAAAAACAGUCAACAAGAAAACAGUCAGCAAAAAAACAGUCAACAAGAAAACAGUCAGCAAGAAAACAGUCAGCAAAAAAACAGUCAACAAGAAAACAGUCAGCAAGAAAACAGUCAACAAGAAAACAGUCAGCAAGAAAACAGUCAGCAAGAAAACAGUCAACAAGAAAACAGUCAACAAGAAAACAGUCAACAAAAAACAGUCAACAAGAAAACAGUCAGCAAAAAAACGGUCAACAAGAAAACAGUCAGCAAGAAAACAGUCAGCAAAAAAACAGUCAACAAGAAAACAGUCAGCAAGAAAACAGUCAACAAGAAAACAGUCAACAAGAAAACAGUCAACAAGAAAAUGCUGUUCCCCCGUGUCGUUCAGGAGCCCAAACAAAGUUAGCGUGCUACAAUAUCGGACAGUAGAAACCAACCAGAAAGUUCGGAAAAUUGUCUGAAUCCUCCUUUGGCCACGACUGCCGACACAAGCAAGAAAACAAAGUAAAUACCGGAGA